rnacentral:rRNA from 1 species
UGGGCUUGACAUCCCGGGAAUUCCGUGGAAACAUGGAAGUGCCCUUCGGGGAACCUGGAGAC